GACGAACGCUGGCGGCGUGCCUAAUACAUGCAAGUUGAGCGCUGAAGGUUGGUACUUGUACCGACUGGAUGAGCAGCGAACGGGUGAGUAACGCGUGGGGAAUCUGCCUUUGAGCGGGGGACAACAUUUGGAAACGAAUGCUAAUACCGCAUAAAAACUUUAAACACAAGUUUUAAGUUUGAAAGAUGCAAUUGCAUCACUCAAAGAUGAUCCCGCGUUGUAUUAGCUAGUUGGUGAGGUAAAGGCUCACCAAGGCGAUGAUACAUAGCCGACCUGAGAGGGUGAUCGGCCACAUUGGGACUGAGACACGGCCCAAACUCCUACGGGAGGCAGCAGUAGGGAAUCUUCGGCAAUGGACGAAAGUCUGACCGAGCAACGCCGCGUGAGUGAAGAAGGUUUUCGGAUCGUAAGACUCUGUUGGUAGAGAAGAACGUUGGUGAGAGUGGAAAGCUCAUCAAGUGACGGUAACUACCCAGAAAGGGACGGCUAACUACGUGC
rnacentral:rRNA from 1 species